CGGGACGGGUGAGUAAUGCUUGGGAAUCUAGCUUAUGGAGGGGGAUAACUACGGGAAACUGUAGCUAAUACCGCGUAAUAUCGAAAGAUUAAAGUGUAGGACCUUCGGGCCACAUGCCAUAGGAUGAGCCCAAGUGGGAUUAGGUAGUUGGUGAGGUAAAGGCUCACCAGCCGACGAUCUCUAGCUGGUCUGAGAGGAUGACCAGCCACACUGGGACUGAGACACGGCCCAG
rnacentral:rRNA from 1 species